AUGGAUAUGGAACACGAAACACCAAAAAAAUUAGUGGUACUUGCUACUCAUGGAGAUGGGGAACCUCCUAAAACCCUCGAUGCUUAUUAUGUGAAAGAUAUUAUGUACUACUUUGAUAAUCCUGAGAAAACCCCAUUCAAUUAUAUAAUGGGAGACACAUUGGAUCAACAUGAAUACUUUAGGGAUUAUCGCUUGACUCAAAAAGGGAAACUAUUAUGGGAUCAAAUUCAUAUGUUGCAUUGGUAUGCUCGGCAACUUUGCUUGAGAUAUGAUUAUACUUGUUGCUCUAGGAUGAAGGCUCCACACCUUCCCUUUUCAUGCAAAUUUAAUGAUGAUAAAACCUUGGCUUCUUAUGCUAAUGGUAUAUAUGAUUACUAUGAUGUGGAACGAAUAGAAGAGUUUGUUGCUUUUAUGGGAGCUUAUGAAAUUGAAUCUUUGUUUAAAGAGUUUGAAGAUUUUGAUGAUUCAGUUUAUAGACCUGAAAAUUUUGCUAUACUUAAAUAUUGCUAUGAGAAUUAUGAAUUCAAUUCCGAUAUUGAUGAUUUUAUUGAGAGAGUCUCCGCUUUCCAAAAGAGACUAAUAUUUUGCAAGAGUCUAUGGAAGAAGAAAUUAAUGACAUUGUGA
rnacentral:rRNA from 1 species